rnacentral:rRNA from 1 species
CCUACGGGUGGCAGCAGUGAGGAAUAUUGGUCAAUGGACGGAAGUCUGAACCAGCCACGCCGCGUGCAGGAAGACGGCUCUCUGAGUUUUAAACUGCUUUUGUACAAGGGUAAACCUGAAUACGGGUAUUCAGCUGAAAGUACUGUACGAAUAAGGAUCGGCUAACUCCGUUCCAGGAGCCGCGGUUAUACGGAGGAUCCAAGCGUUAUCCGGAUUUAAUGGGUUGAAAGGGUGCGUAGGCGGAUUGAUAAGUUAGAGGUGAAAUGUCCGAGCUUAACUCGGGAACUGCCUCUAAUACUGUUUAUCGAGAGAGUAGAUGCGGUAGGCGGAAUGUAUGGUGUAGCGGUGAAAUGCUUAGAGAUAA